rnacentral:misc_RNA from 1 species
GAUGAAGAACGUAGCGAAAUGCGAUAAGUAAUGUGAAUUGCAGAAUUCCGUGAAUCAUCGAGUCUUUGAACGCACAUUGCGCCCCCUGGUAUUCCGGGGGGCAUGCCUGUCCGAGCGUCAUUGCUGCCCUCAAGCACGGCUUGUGUGUUGGGCCUCCGUCCUCCUCCCGGGGGACGGGCCCGAAAGGCAGCGGCGGCACCGCGUCCGGUCCUCGAGCGUAUGGGGCUUCGUCACCCGCUCUUGUAGGCCCGGCCGGCGCUUGCCGACACAUCAAUCUUUUUUCCAGGUUAACCUCGGAUCAGGUAGGGAUACCCGCUGAACUUAAGCAUAUCAAUAAGCGGAGGA